rnacentral:sRNA from 2 species
GGUCGGGUGCCGCCGAAUCGUCAGCGUCACGAACCGGGGACCCACCGCAACUCUGGGGUGAAUCCGCGCCACCGCGCGGUAGGGCGAGCUUCCCGCCCGAAUCCGUCAGCUAACCCGGUAGGCGGCCGCGAAGGAGGCU